AAGUCGUAACAAGGUUUCCGUAGGUGAACCUGCGGAAGGAUCAUUAACACUCCAAAACUUCUUCAAGGACUCUGAAAAGGGUCCAUGAUGAAACCCUAUUAACCAAUAGCGAACCUAGGCCGGGAGACAGUUGGUUUCCUAGCGACACUUUUGUCCUUUUUUAUUAUUAUUUUAACCCCACAUUUCUUUUUUAUCGUCUGACUGGAAGAUCUCGGUCUUCCGUUGCUCUCUCUCUUAAACCAGAGAGGCAAUGAAAACUACCAAAAACAAAAACAAAAAAACAACUCUUAGCAACGGAUAUCUUGGUUCUC
rnacentral:misc_RNA from 1 species